UGUGGGGACUGUGGGCUCAGAGUAGGGAUGAGAAAGGAGGGGCACUUAGGGAGUGGCGGGAAGGGCACCGGCUCAGGUUGGGAACCGUCAGAGGAAGGCAGAAAAGAACCCCAGGUGAGUUUCAGGAGCGACUAGGUUCAGGGGGAGAAGGAAGAGAAACGGGCCAUAAAAAGAGAAAGGCGGCUUGCCGUGGCAGGGGAGAGAGAGAGGGGCGAGCAAACACAGGUUCAUUAAUCUGUAGUUCGUCUGCCUUUUCUGUUAGGCGGGUGAACUUGAUGAGUUAAUUAAGUCGCAGUCUGUAAAACCAGUUUAUUUGCAUAGCAAACUCCUGGGCCAGUGUGUGCUGUGAGUUGAGUGUGUGUAGGAGCAGACAAUUCGGGGGAAAUUACAGCCUCAUUAAUAUGCUAAUCUGGUUGCAGGCCUGGAACGGAGUUUUGGGUUGGUGGUGCUCCGGGGUGGUGGGUGUUUGGUUGCUUAGCAACCCUUUUCUCCAGGUAACCCUUCUCUGGCUUGCCCUUGAUAUCCCCCAAAGGAUUGCAAUGUGGAAGAGGAGGUAACUUGCAAGAUAUCCAGGCUUCCCCAGAAAGAGUAAAAUAUGGGGUCAAGGGUGUUAAUGCCUCAUCCUGCCAUCAUGAAAAAAGGACCAUGCCCAGAUGGUCUUACAGAAUGAAAGUUCCAUGAGGUCUCCAUGAGUUCAAGGGCCACAACUGAAAGAUCCUGCGUGCUGCAAUGAGACCCGGUGCAGCCAAAUAAGUAAAUAAAUGUUUAAAAAAAUAAAUAAAUAAAAUUGAGCUAUUAAAAAAAAAGAUGGAGGCAGAUGGAGGAGAUGUGAGGAUAGAAGUGGAGAUCAGAGAGAGAGAGAAGAGAGAAUAUGCUAGCUUUUGAAGAGGAGGAGGGGGCUGCAAGCCAAAGAAAGCAGGUGGCAUCUAGAAACUGGAAGAGGAAAGGAGGGGAUUCAGCCCCAGAGCUUCCAGAAUGAAACGCUUUCUCUGUGAACACCUCGAUUUUACUGAUG